GAUGAACGCUAGCUACAGGCUUAACACAUGCAAGUCGAGGGGCAGCAUGAACAAAGCUUGCUUUGUUUGAUGGCGACCGGCGCACGGGUGCGUAACACGUAUCCAAUCUGCCCGCGGCUCGGGGAUAGCCCAUCGAAAGAUGGAUUAAUACCCGAUGGCGUGGUUUCUCCGCAUGGAGUUUCCACUAAAGGUUUUCCGGCCGCGGAUGAGGAUGCGUAUGAUUAGGUAGUAGACGGGGUAACGGCCCACCUAGCCUUCGAUCAUUAGGGGUUCUGAGAGGAAGGUCCCCCACACUGGAACUGAGACACGGUCCAGACUCCUACGGGAGGCAGCAGUGAGGAAUAUUGGUCAAUGGGCGAGAGCCUGAACCAGCCAAGUAGCGUGAAGGAAGACUGCCCUAUGGGUUGUAAACUUCUUUUGUUCGGGAAUAAAGUGCAGUACGCGUACUGUUUUGUAUGUACCGUUCGAAUAAGCAUCGGCUAAUUCCGUGCCAGCCGCCGCCGUAACAC
rnacentral:rRNA from 1 species